UGCGUAGGCGGAUAAAUAAGUCAGUGGUGAAAUCUUUCGGCUCAACCGGGAAACUGCCAUUGAUACUGUUUAUCUUGAGUUCGGUAGAGGUAGGCGGAAUGUGUAAUGUAGCGGUGAAAUGCUUAGAUAUUACACAGAACACCAAUUGCGUAGGCAGCUUACUAGACCGACACUGACGCUGAGGCACGAAAGCGUGGGGAGCGAACAGGAUUAGAUACCCUGGUAGUCC
rnacentral:rRNA from 1 species